GACGAACGCUGGCGGCGUGCUUAACACAUGCAAGUCGAGCGAGGCCUGCUCUUCGGGGUGGUGCCCUAGCGGCGAACGGGUGAGUAACACGUGGGCAACCUGCCCUCAGCUCUGGGAUAACUCCAAGAAAUUGGUGCUAAUACCGGAUGUGACCGCUGACCGCAUGGUCUGGUGGUGGAAAGAUUUAUCGGCUGAGGAUGGGCCCGCGGCCUAUCAGCUUGNGGUGGGGUGAUGGCCUACCAAGGCGACGACGGGUAGCCGGCCUGAGAGGGUGACCGGCCACACUGGGACUGAGACACGGCCCAGACUCCUACGGGAGCAGCAGUGGGGAAUAUUGCGCAAUGGGCGGAAGCCUGACGCAGCGACGCCGCGUGAGGGAUGACGGCU
rnacentral:rRNA from 1 species